AUACGGAGGGUGCAAGCGUUAAUCGGAAUUACUGGGUGUAAAGAGUACGUAGGUGGUUUACUCAGUCAGAUGUGAAAGCCCCGGGCUUAACCUGGGAACUGCAUUUGAUACUGGUAAGCUAGAGUAUGGUAGAGGGGGGUAGAAUUCAUAGUGUAGCGGUGAAAUGCGUAGAUAUUAUGAGGAAUACCGGUGGCGAAGGCGGCCCCCUGGCCCAAUACUGACACUGAGGUACGAAAGCGUGGGUAGCGAACAGGAUUAGAAACCCCAGUAGUCC
rnacentral:rRNA from 1 species